GCUGUAGCUCAGUGGCAGAGUAUCUGCUUUGCAUGCAAAAAGUCCCAGGUUCAACACCUGACAUUUCCA